AACGAACGCUGGCGGCGUGCCUAACACAUGCAAGUCGAACGAGAUCUUCGGGUCUAGUGGCGCACGGGUGCGUAACGCGUGGGAAUCUGCCCUUUGGUUCGGAAUAACAGUUGGAAACGACUGCUAAUACCGGAUGAUGACGAAAGUCCAAAGAUUUAUCGCCAGAGGAUGAGCCCGCGUAGGAUUAGCUAGUUGGUGUGGUAAAGGCGCACCAAGGCGACGAUCCUUAGCUGGGCUGAGAGGAUGAUCAGCCACACUGGGACUGAGACACGGCCCAGACUCCUACGGGAGGCAGCAGUGGGGAAUAUUGGACAAUGGGCGAAAGCCUGAUCCAGCAAUGCCGCGUGAGUGAUGAAGGCCUUAGGGUUGCAAAGCUCUUUUACCCGGGAUGAUAAUGACAGUACCGGGAGAAUAAGCUCCGGCUAACUCCGUGCCAGCAGCCGCCGUAA
rnacentral:rRNA from 1 species